UACGAAGGGUGCAAACGUUGUUCGGAAUUACUGGGCGUAAAGCGCACGUAGGCGGACUAUUAAGUCAGGGGUGAAAUCCCGGGGCUCAACCCCGGAACUGCCUUUGAUACUGGUAGUCUCGAGUCCGGAAGAGGUGAGUGGAAUUCCGAGUGUAGAGGUGAAAUUCGUAGAUAUUCGGAGGAACACCAGUGGCGAAGGCGGCUCACUGGUCCGGUACUGACGCUGAGGUGCGAAAGCGUGGGGAGCAAACAGG
rnacentral:rRNA from 1 species